rnacentral:rRNA from 1 species
UUGGGAGGGCAAGUCUGGUGCCAGCAGCCGCGGUAAUUCCAGCUCCAAUAGCGUAUAUUAACAGUUGUUGCAGUUAAAAAGCUCGUAGUUGAAUUUCGGGAUUGACACAUCGGUCGUGCCUUAAGGGGUAUGAACUGGUGUAGUCAAUUUCUCACCUUCUGGAGAACCACGAUGCCCUUAAUUGGGUGUCGCGGGGAACCAGGACCUUUACUUUGAAAAAAUUAGAGUGUUUAAAGCAGGCAUUUUGCUUGAAUACAUUAGCAUGGAAUAAUAAAAUAGGACGGCAUGAUUCUAUUUUGUUGGUUUCUAGGAUCACCGUAAUGAUUAAUAGGGAUAGUUGGGGACAUUAGUAUUCAACUGUCAGAGGUGAAAUUCUUGGAUUUAUUGAAGACUAACUACUGCGAAAGCAUUUGCCAAGGAUGUUUUCAUUAAUCAAGGACGAAAGUUAGGGGAUCGAAGACGAUCAGAUACCGUCGUAGUCUUAACCAUAAACUAUGCCGACUAGGAAUCAGACGAUGUUAAUUUUUUAAUGACUCGUUUGGCACCUUACGGGAAACCAAAGUGUUUGGGU